CAUUCCCAGCAAAGCACAGCUGAGGCGCCAUUGGCUUUGUGAGUUUGGAUUCCCCAUCAUCCAUUCCUCACAAGCUUCUUUCUGGGCCUACCGUGAGUCUUCAGCCUGUACCUGUCUGGAGUUCACUUGAGGGUGGAGUCUCUCUUCUCUCUCGGGAUCCCCCUUCAUUAUUUCUGGUGUCUCCCUCCGCUCUCAUACUUCAUUAAUCACUUUGGAAUUCUACAUAAUAAAUGGCCAGCUUGCUUCAGAAGAUGGAGAUGUGGAUCUGCGCAUGUACGGAACAGUGACGGUCCACACUGGAGGGAGAAAGCUGCCUCAGAGCUUGGACCUCAGUGGUCAAGAAUUUCUCAUCCACUCAUGGAGCUGCUUUGAGGAUCAAGAGAGAUAAUACACCUUAACGUGUUUGGGGUAAGUAUAAAGCACUUUCUAAAUAGAAGGCAUUAUUAAAAGACAUCUCACUUGUAAUUUCUGCUUCCACUA
rnacentral:lncRNA from 1 species